GAGGGGGGCGGGAGGGGUUGUACAAUGUUAAUCUCAGGGUGUCGAAUGCAAACGUUUUCCAGUUGGUGAAUCACACACCAAAACUCUCAAAAUAUUAUUUUGAUAUUUAGAAUAAAAAACGUAUUGUGAUGCUAAAAAGAAUAAUAUGAUGCCAUUUCAUAAAGAAAACUUUUGUGUAAGCAAAUUUUUGUAAAAUAACAAAAUAAAUUAAAUAUAGAAAAUGUACAAUA